rnacentral:rRNA from 1 species
GACGAACGCUGGCGGCGUGCUUAACACAUGCAAGUCGAACGGAAAGGCCUUUUCGGAGGUACUCGAGUGGCGAACGGGUGAGUAACACGUGGGUGAUCUGCCCUGCACUCUGGGAUAAGCCUGGGAAACUGGGUCUAAUACCGGAUAGGACCGCACUUUAGUGUGUGUGGUGGAAAGUUUUUUCGGUGUAGGAUGAGCCCGCGGCCUAUCAGCUUGUUGGUGGGGUAAUGGCCUACCAAGGCGGCGACGGGUCGCCGGACGGCGAGGUUGGUCGGCCACAUUGGGACUGGGAGACGGCCCAGACUCCUACGGGAGGCAGCAGUGGGGAAUAGUGCACAAUGGGCGCAAGCCUGAUGCAGCGACGCCGCGUGGGGGAUGACGGCCUUCGGGUUGUAAACUCCUUUCGCCAGGGACGAAGCGUUUUGUGACGGUACCUGGAGAAGAAGCACCGGCUAACUACGUG